rnacentral:rRNA from 1 species
AACGAACGCUGGCGGCAUGCCUAACACAUGCAAGUCGAACGAGACCUUCGGGUCUAGUGGCGCACGGGUGCGUAACGCGUGGGAACCUGCCCUUAGGUUCGGAAUAACUCCCCGAAAGGGGUGCUAAUACCGGAUAAUGUCUUCGGACCAAAGAUUUAUCGCCUUUGGAUGGGCCCGCGUUGGAUUAGCUAGUUGGUAGGGUAAAAGCCUACCAAGGCGACGAUCCAUAGCUGGUCUGAGAGGAUGAUCAGCCGCACUGGGACUGAGACACGGCCCAGACUCCUACGGGAGGCAGCAGUGGGGAAUAUUGGACAAUGGGCGAAAGCCUGAUCCAGCAAUGCCGCGUGAGUGAUGAAGGCCUUAGGGUUGUAAAGCUCUUUUACCCGGGAUGAUAAUGACAGUACCGGGAGAAUAAGCUCCGGCUAACUCCGU